AAAUUAAAAUUUUUCUUCAGAUCGCAUACAUCUUUUGCCUUUUACUAAAGAUUUCCAUGGAGAAGAACAACUCUGAGUCUGAAACCAAUAUUUUGAGGCCUUGCUUUGGCACGGCU